GACGAACGCUGGCGGCGUGCCUAAUACAUGCAAGUAGAACGCUGAAGAGAGGAGCUUACUCUUCUUGGAUGAGUUGCGAACGGGUGAGUAACGCGUAGGUAACCUGCCUUGUAGCGGGGGAUAACUAUGGGAAACGAUAGCUAAUACCGCAUAACAAUGGUGGACACAUGUCAUUUAUUUGAAAGGGGCAAUUGCUCCACUACAAGAGGGACCUGCGUUGUAUUAGCUAGUAGGUGAGGUAAUGGCUCACCUAGGCGACGAUACAUAGCCGACCUGAGAGGGUGAUCGGCCACACUGGGACUGAGACACGGCCCAGACUCCUACGGGAGGCAGCAGUAGGGAAUCUUCGGCAAUGGGGGCAACCCUGACCGAGCAACGCCGCGUGAGUGAAGAAGGUUUUCGGAUCGUAAAGCUCUGUUGUAAGUCAAGAACGGGUGUGAGAGUGGAAAGUUCACACUGUGACGGUAGCUUACCAGAAAGGGACGGCUAACUACGUG
rnacentral:rRNA from 1 species